AGACAACUUGCAACAGCCACGAUGAUGUGGUUUACAUGGACAUCGAUCCACUGGAAGCUAGACUAAGACAAAAAUCACAUUUCUGUGGUCAGGAAAACAUAACCACUGCUGAGCAGGAAAUGCCAGAAGGUUCUAACAUACUCUGCCAUUUUGCUGGAUGCUACAUGUGAACAUAGAGACACUAAGCAUUCAUCACUUAAGCAGAAAAGAUACAGAGCAAAGAUUCAAGUCCUGAAUCUACAAAGAGGGAAAGAGACCUCUGCUAAACAAAAGGCAGAAAACAAAACAAGGGUACAGAAUAUGCUGCUGCUAGCAUUUGGAAAGGAAAAAAACCAAACCCCAGAAAACCAC